rnacentral:rRNA from 1 species
GAUGAACGCUGGCGGCGUGCCUAAUACAUGCAAGUCGAGCGAACAGACGAGGAGCUUGCUCCUUUGACGUUAGCGGCGGACGGGUGAGUAGCACGUGGGUAACCUACCUAUAAGACUGGGAUAACUUCGGGAAACCGGAGCUAAUACCGGAUAAUAUUUCGAACCGCAUGGUUCGAUAGUGAAAGAUGGCUUUGCUAUCACUUAUAGAUGGACCUGCGCCGUAUUAGCUAGUUGGUAAGGUAACGGCUUACCAAGGCAACGAUACGUAGCCGACCUGAGAGGGUGAUCGGCCACACUGGAACUGAGACACGGUCCAGACUCCUACGGGAGGCAGCAGUAGGGAAUCUUCCGCAAUGGGCGAAAGCCUGACGGAGCAACGCCGCGUGAGUGAUGAAGGUCUUCGGAUCGUAAAACUCUGUUAUUAGGGAAGAACAAACGUGUAAGUAACUGUGCACGUCUUGACGGUACCUAAUCAGAAAGCCACGGCUAACUACGUG